UACGUAGGGUGCGAGCGUUAAUCGGAAUUACUGGGCGUAAAGCGUGCGUAGGCGGCUAUCUAAGUCGGGUGUGAAAGCCCCGGGCUCAACCUGGGAAUUGCAUUCGAGACUGAAUAGCUAGGGUACGGUAGAGGGAAGUGGAAUUUCCGGUGUAGCGGUGAAAUGCGUAGAUAUCGGAAGGAACAUCAGUGGCGAAAGCGACUUCCUGGACCAGUACCGACGUUCAGGCACGAAAGCGUGGGGAGCAAACAGG
rnacentral:rRNA from 1 species